UACAGAGGGUGCGAGCGUUGUCCGGAAUCAUUGGGCGUAAAGGGCGCGUAGGUGGUUCUGUAUGUCUACCGUGAAAGCGUACGGCUCAACCGUAUUUUGUCGGUAGAAACUGCAGGACUUGAGGCUGGGAGGGGCUGGUGGAAUUCCCUGUGUAGCGGUGAAAUGCGUAGAGAUGGGGGAGAACACUCGUGGCGAAGGCGGCCAGCUAGACCAGUUCUGACACUGAGGCGCGACAGCGUGGGGAGCAAACAGG
rnacentral:rRNA from 1 species